ACAACACGAAUCCAGAGGAACCACAGGGUGCAUAACUGAGCCAUCCCAGCACAGCCCUUACACCUAAUACAUCAAAAAAGAAGCUUUAGACUCUCACUGUGCUCGACGUGAAGCAGAUUUAUUGGAGCAUCAUGUGUACAGCAAUUUAGGCCUACAUAGAGGUCUUUGUCAAGCUGUGUAGGUUGAAACGUUGCUGUACAGAUGAUGCUCCAAUAAAUCUGCUUCAUAUCAAGCCCAGCAAGUUCCUGAAGCCCCUUUUGGAUUUACAAGUUGAAUUUUGGGAAAUAAAUCCCUGUGGUAGGAACAAACGAGUAGCUUAGUCAUAAU